GGCGGUGUAGCUCAGCUGGCUAGAGCGUUCGGUUCAUACCCGAAAGGUUGGGGGUUCGAUCCCCUCCGCCGCUACCA
rnacentral:tRNA from 1 species